AUUGAACGCUGGCGGCAUGCCUUACACAUGCAAGUCGAACGGCAGCAUGGAGAGCUUGCUCUCUGAUGGCGAGUGGCGAACGGGUGAGUAAUGCAUCGGAACGUACCGUGUAAUGGGGGAUAACGUAGCGAAAGUUACGCUAAUACCGCAUACGACCUGAGGGUGAAAGCAGGGGAUCGCAAGACCUUGCGUUAUACGAGCGGCCGAUGUCAGAUUAGCUAGUUGGUGAGGUAAAGGCUCACCAAGGCGACGAUCUGUAGCGGGUCUGAGAGGAUGAUCCGCCACACUGGGACUGAGACACGGCCCAGACUCCUACGGGAGGCAGCAGUGGGGAAUUUUGGACAGUGGGGGCAACCCUGAUCCAGCCAUGCCGCGUGAGUGAAGAAGGCCUUCGGGUUGUAAAGCUCUUUCGGCAGGAACGAAACGGUGAGCUCUAACAUAGCUUGCUAAUGACGGUACCUGAAGAAGAAGCACCGGCUAACUACGUGCCAGCCGCCGCAGUAA
rnacentral:rRNA from 1 species